rnacentral:misc_RNA from 1 species
ACGCAUGACUAUGACGUCAAGAUGCGCAACGUGAUGAAAUUCCUGGAAAACGGCGACAAGGUGAAGGUCACGCUGCGGUUCCGCGGCCGCGAGAUGGCGCACCAGAACCUGGGCCGCGAGCUGCUGGAACGGGUGGCCGAGGACACCAAGGAGAUCGGCAAGGUCGAGAACAUGCCGAAGAUGGAAGGCCGCCAGAUGAUCAUGAUGAUCGGCCCGCUGCCGCAGAAAUAGCGCGCGCGCGGCACACAGACUGACGAACCCGCAGGGCCGACCCGGUCGCUGCGGGUUUUUCAUGUCCGGAGGCAGGUUUUCCGA